rnacentral:siRNA from 1 species
UAUGUGUCGAUGUCGUGCUUA